rnacentral:rRNA from 1 species
GGAGUACGGCCGCAAGGUUAAAACUCAAAUGAAUUGCCGGGGGCCCGCACAAGCGGUGGAGCAUGUGGUUUAAUUCGAUGCAACGCGAAGAACCUUACGUACUCUUGACAUCCAGAGAACUUAGCAGAGAUGCUUUGGUGCCUUCGGGAACUCUGAGACAGGUGUUGCAUGGCUGUCGUCAGCUCGUGUUGUGAAAUGUUGGGUUAAGUCCCGCAACGAGCGCAACCCUUAUCCUUUGUUGCCAGCGGUUAGGCCGGGAACUCAAAGGAGACUGCCAGUGAUAAACUGGAGGAAGGUGGGGAUGACGUCAAGUCAUCAUGGCCCUUACGAGUAGGGCUACACACGUGCUACAAUGGCGCAUACAAAGAGAAUCGACCUCGCGAGAGCAAGCGGACCUCAUAAAGUGCGUCGUAGUCCGGAUUGGAGUCUGCAACUCGACUCCAUGAAGUCGGAAUCGCUAGUAAUCGUGGAUCAGAAUGCCACGGUGAAUACGUUCCCGGGCCUUGUACACACCGCCCGUCACACCAUGGGAGUGGGUUGCAAAAGAAGUAGGUAGCUUAACCUUCGGGAGGGCGCUUCCCACUUUGUGAUUCAUGCCUGCGGGAAGCC